rnacentral:rRNA from 2 species
AGCGGCGGACGGGUGAGUAACACGUGGGCAACCUGGCUGUAAGACUGGGAUAACUCCGGGAAACCGGAGCUAAUACCGGAUAACAUUUUCUCUUGCAUAAGAGAAAAUUGAAAGAUGGUUUCGGCUAUCACUUACAGAUGGGCCCGCGGUGCAUUAGCUAGUUGGUGAGGUAACGGCUCACCAAGGCAACGAUGCAUAGCCGACCUGAGAGGGUGAUCGGCCACACUGGGACUGAGACACGGCCCAGACUCCUACGGGAGGCAGCAGUAGGGAAUCUUCCGCAAUGGACGAAAGUCUGACGGAGCAACGCCGCGUGAGUGAUGAAGGCUUUCGGGUCGUAAAACUCUGUUGUUAGGGAAGAACAAGUACAAGAGUAACUGCUUGUACCUUGACGGUACCUAACCAGAAAGCCACGGCUAACUACGUGCCAGCAGCCGCGGUAAUACGUAGGUGGCAAGCGUUAUCCGGAAUUAUUGGGCGUAAAGCGCGCGCAGGCGGUUUCUUAAGUCUGAUGUGAAAGCCCACGGCUCAACCGUGGAGGGUCAUUGGAAACUGGGGAACUUGAGUGCAAAAGAGAAAAGCGGAAUUCCCGCGUGUA